rnacentral:rRNA from 2 species
UACGGGGGAUGCAAGUGUUAUCCGGAAUAAUUGGGCGUAAAGCGUCUGUAGGUGGUUGACCAAGUCUGUUGUUAAAAAUCAGGGCUUAACCCUGAUCCGGCAACAGAAACUAGUAAACUUGAGUACGGUAGGGGCAGAGGGAAUUCUCGGUGUAGUGGUGAAAUACGUAGAUAUCGAGAAGAACACCAAUAGCGAAAGCACUCUGCUGGGCCGAAACUGACAUUGAGAGACGAAAGCUAGGGGAGCAAAAGGG